rnacentral:rRNA from 1 species
GACGAACGCUGGCGGCGUGCCUAAUACAUGCAAGUUGAGCGCUUAAGGUUGGUACUUGUACCAACUGGAUGAGCAGCGCACGGGUGAGUAACGCGUGGGGAAUCUGCCUUUGAGCGGGGGACAACAUUUGGAAACGAAUGCUAAUACCGCAUAAAAACUUUAAACACAAGUUUUAAGUUUGAAAGAUGCAAUUGCAUCACUCAAAGAUGAUCCCGCGUUUUAUUAGCUAGUUGGUGAGGUAAAGGCUCACCAAGGCGAUGAUACAUAGCCGACCUGAGAGGGUGAUCGGCCACAUUGGGACUGAGACACGGCCCAAACUCCUACGGGAGGCAGCAGUAGGGAAUCUUCGGCAAUAGACGAAAGUCUGACCGAGCAACGCCGCGUGAGUGAAGAAGGUUUUCGGAUCGUAAAACUCUGUUGGUAGAGAAGAACGUUGGUGAGAGUGGAAAGCUCAUCAAGUGACGGUAACUACCCAGAAAGGGACGGCUAACUACGUG